rnacentral:rRNA from 1 species
GUGGGGAAUUUUGGACAAUGGGCGCAAGCCUGAUCCAGCAAUGCCGCGUGCAGGAUGAAGGCCUUCGGGUUGUAAACUGCUUUUGUACGGAGCGAAAAGGCUUCCACUAAUACUGGGGGCUCAUGACGGUACCGUAAGAAUAAGCACCGGCUAACUACGUGCCAGCAGCCGCGGUAAUACGUAGGGUGCAAGCGUUAAUCGGAAUUACUGGGCGUAAAGCGUGCGCAGGCGGUUUUGUAAGACAGGCGUGAAAUCCACGGGCUCAACCUGGGAAUUGCGCUUGUGACUGCAAGGCUGGAGUGCGGCAGAGGGGGAUGGAAUUCCGCGUGUAGCAGUGAAAUGCGUAGAUAUGCGGAGGAACACCGAUGGCGAAGGCAAUCCCCUGGGCCUGCACUGACGCUCAUGCACGAAAGCGUGGGGAGCAAACAGGAUUAGAAACCCGAGUAGUCC